GUAGGGGGCGAGCGUUGUCCGGAAUUAUUGGGCGUAAAGAGCUCGUAGGCGGCUUAGUAAGUCGGCGGUGAAAGCCCGAGGCUCAACUUCGGGACUGCCGUCGAUACUGCUAUGGCUAGAGUCUGGUAGAGGAGAACGGAAUUCCCGGUGUAGCGGUGGAAUGCGCAGAUAUCGGGAGGAACACCUGUAGCGAAGGCGGUUCUCUGGGCCAGUACUGACGCUGAGGAGCGAAAGCGUGGGGAGCGAACAGGAUUAGAUACCCUGGUAGUCCACGCUGUAAACGUUGGGCACUAGGUGUGGCGACCCGACCAACGGUUGCCGUGCCGAAGCUAACGCAUUAAGUGCCCCGCCUGGGGAGUACGGCCGCAAGGCUA
rnacentral:rRNA from 1 species